AUUGAACGCUGGCGGCAGGCUUAACACAUGCAAGUCGAACGAGUGGCGGACGGGUGAGUAAUGCUUGGGAAUCUAGCUUAUGGAGGGGGAUAACUAUGGGAAACUGUAGCUAAUACCGCGUACCAUAGGAUGAGCCCAAGUGGGAUUAGGUAGUUGGUGAGGUAAAGGCUCACCAAGCCGACGAUCUCUAGCUGGUCUGAGAGGAUGACCAACCAACAGGGGGCUGAGGCACGGCCCAGACUCCUACGGGAGGUAGCAGUGGGGAAGAUUGCGCAAUGGGGGCAACCUGACGCAGCCAUGCCGCGUGAAUGAAGAAGGCCUUCGGGUUGUGAAGUUCUUUCGGUAGCGAGGCGUUAACUACAGAAGAAGCACCGGCUAACUCCGUGCCAGCAGCCGCGGUAAUAC
rnacentral:rRNA from 1 species